rnacentral:rRNA from 1 species
UGUGAAUCAUCGAAUCUUUGAACGCACCUUGCGCUCCUUGGUAUUCCGAGGAGCAUGCCUGUUGAGUGUCAUUAAAUUCUCAACCUUUAUCAACUUCUGCUGGAUAAUUGGCUUGGAUAUGGGGGUCUUUUGCUGGCUUCUUCACAGAUGGUCAGCUCCCCUUAAAUGCAUUAGCCGGUGCCCCGCGUGGACUGUCUAUUGGUGUGAUAAUUAUCUACGCGUGGACAUCUGCAAUCAUAUGGGUUUGCACUGCUUCUAACCGUCUGUUUAUUCAGACAAUACAUGACAAUUUGACCUCAAAUCAGGUAGGACUACCCGCUGAACUUA